rnacentral:lncRNA from 1 species
GAUCCCCCAGUGCAGUUUCGACCAGAGGCCAGCUGGGUCCAGUUCCACUUGGGGAUCAACAGCCACGGGCUGUACUCCAGGUCCAGCCCUGUCGUCAGCAAGCUCCUCCAUGACAUGAGGCACUUCCCCACCAUCAGCGCUGAUCACAGCCAGGAUGAAAAAGCCUUGCUGGGGGCCUGUGACUGCUCCCAGAGUAAGUGACAUGACUCCCCGCCUCCAGCCAGCCUCCAAUGGGCUCUCCCUGACCAACCUCUGAGAAUACAACACCCCCCCCCCAAGCCACCCACAGUAAAAGGCAUCUUGGAAUCUCUGAGGAGCAUCCUACAGG